AAAAUUAAAUAGUAAUUAACCAUUAUAAACUAGAAAUAUGGUCUAGUGUUUCUACGUCCAACCAAUGUAAAGGGACUCUAGUGGUUGAUGUUUUACAACA
rnacentral:ncRNA from 2 species